rnacentral:rRNA from 1 species
ACACAUGCAAGUCGAGCGGUAGCACAGAGAGCUUGCUCUCGGGUGACGAGCGGCGGACGGGUGAGUAAUGUCUGGGAAACUGCCUGAUGGAGGGGGAUAACUACUGGAAACGGUAGCUAAUACCGCAUAAUGUCGCAAGACCAAAGUGGGGGACCUUCGGGCCUCAUGCCAUCAGAUGUGCCCAGAUGGGAUUAGCUAGUAGGUGGGGUAACGGCUCACCUAGGCGACGAUCCCUAGCUGGUCUGAGAGGAUGACCAGCCACACUGGAACUGAGACACGGUCCAGACUCCUACGGGAGGCAGCAGUGGGGAAUAUUGCACAAUGGGCGCAAGCCUGAUGCAGCCAUGCCGCGUGUGUGAAGAAGGCCUUCGGGUUGUAAAGCACUUUCAGCGGGGAGGAAGGCGGUGAGGUUAAUAACCUUGUCGAUUGACGUUACCCGCAGAAGAAGCACCGGCUAACUCCGUGCCAGCAGCCGCGGUAAUACGGAGGGUGCAAGCGUUAAUCGGAAUUACUGGGCGUAAAGCGCACGCAGGCGGUCUGUCAAGUCGGAUGUGAAAUCCCCGGGCUCAACCUGGGAACUGCAUUCGAAACUGGCAGGCUAGAGUCUUGUAGAGGGGGGUAGAAUUCCAGGUGUAGCGGUGAAAUGCGUAGAGAUCUGGAGGAAUACCGGUGGCGAAGGCGGCCCCCUGGACAAAGACUGACGCUCAGGUGCGAAAGCGUGGGGAGCAAACAGGAUUAGAUACCCUGGUAGUCCACGCCGUAAACGAUGUCGAUUUGGAGGUUGUGCCCUUGAGGCGUGGCUUCCGGAGCUAACGCGUUAAAUCGACCGCCUGGGGAGUACGGCCGCAAGGUUAAAACUCAAAUGAAUUGACGGGGGCCCGCACAAGCGGUGGAGCAUGUGGUUUAAUUCGAUGCAACGCGAAGAACCUUACCUGGUCUUGACAUCCACAGAACUUUCCAGAGAUGGAUUGGUGCCUUCGGGAACUGUGAGACAGGUGCUGCAUGGCUGUCGUCAGCUCGUGUUGUGAAAUGUUGGGUUAAGUCCCGCAACGAGCGCAACCCUUAUCCUUUGUUGCCAGCGGUUAGGCCGGGAACUCAAAGGAGACUGCCAGUGAUAAACUGGAGGAAGGUGGGGAUGACGUCAAGUCAUCAUGGCCCUUACGACCAGGGCUACACACGUGCUACAAUGGCAUAUACAAAGAGAAGCGACCUCGCGAGAGCAAGCGGACCUCAUAAAGUAUGUCGUAGUCCGGAUUGGAGUCUGCAACUCGACUCCAUGAAGUCGGAAUCGCUAGUAAUCGUAGAUCAGAAUGCUACGGUGAAUACGUUCCCGGGCCUUGUACACACCGCCCGUCACACCAUGGGAGUGGGUUGCAAAAGAAGUAGGUAGCUUAACCUUCGGGAG